GAAACCGGGGCUAAUACCGGAUGGUUGUUUGAACCGCAUGGUUCAGACAUAAAAGGUGGCUUCGGCUACCACUUACAGAUGGACCCGCGGCGCAUUAGCUAGUUGGUGAGGUAACGGCUCACCAAGGCGACGAUGCGUAGCCGACCUGAGAGGGUGAUCGGCCACACUGGGACUGAGACACGGCCCAGACUCCUACGGGAGGCAGCAGUAGGGAAUCUUCCGCAAUGGACGAAAGUCUGACGGAGCAACGCCGCGUGAGUGAUGAAGGUUUUCGGAUCGUAAAGCUCUGUUGUUAGGGAAGAACAAGUGCCGUUCAAAUAGGGCGGCACCUUGACGGUACCUAACCAGAAAGCCACGGCUAACUACGUGCCAGCAGCCGCGGUAAUACGUAGGUGGCAAGCGUUGUCCGGAAUUAUUGGGCGUAAAGGGCUCGCAGGCGGUUUCUUAAGUCUGAUGUGAAAGCCCCCGGCUCAACCGGGGAGGGUCAUUGGAAACUGGGGAACUUGAGUGCAGAAGAGGAGAGUGGAAUUCCACGUGUAGCGGUGAAAUGCGUAAAGAUGUGGAGGAACACCAGUGGCGAAGGCGACUCUCUGGUCUGUAACUGACGCUGAGGAGCGAAAGCGUGGGGAGCGAACAGGAUUAGAUACCCUGGUAGUCCACGCCGUAAACGAUGAGUGCUAAGUGUUAGGGGGUUUCCGCCCCUUAGUGCUGCAGCUAACGCAUUAAGCACUCCGCCUGGGGAGUACGGUCGCAAGACUGAAACUCAAAGGAAUUGACGGGGGCCCGCACAAGCGGUGGAGCAUGUGGUUUAAUUCCAAGCAACGCGAAGAACCUUACCAGGUCUUGACAUCCUCUGACAAUCCUAG
rnacentral:rRNA from 1 species